rnacentral:lncRNA from 1 species
UUUCAAAGGCCUUCUAAAUAUUUAAAAAUAGACAAAUGAAACAUAUUCUCUCUUUAGUAGAUAUAAGUAUCUGUUAAAACAUUCUAGUGGAGAUUCCUUCAACAAUAGAUAGCAAAAUAGAAAGCUGCUCAAGAAUAUCAAAAGUUUAAAAGUAAACAGGAACUUCUUUGUUGGAGAUAUUCCUUUACACAUGCAGCAGGAAUUUAAACAGUUUAUGUUGCUAAAAUAACUUUUAAAUGGACACUAGAUAAAGUAUCAGGUGUGUAUAUGCAGUACCUGACAUAUGCCAAAACACACAUGGAUAAAAUUAUGAGGCCUGAGACAUUUUCAGGCUUCAGUGAUUUACACACUGCAGAAUGAAUGGUGCUCACAGAGAAACCCUAUUGAUGUGUAAAUUUUUUGAUGGUAUAAACCUCAUGGACUUGAUGGCAAAUGGUGGAAAACAGUGGCAUUCUCCAUAGAUAGAGAAACUAAAAUUGCAGAGUCAUCAGCAUAUAAUAACAAUUUAUGUUUGACUACAGCUGACAUGUCAUUCACGUAAAUUAAAAACAAAAGAGGGCCAAGGAUGGAGCCUUGAGGCACUCCACAAGAUAUGUUAGCAUAAGGUGAAUGCGUCCCUGUCACAUCUACAAUUUGGCGCCUGUCGGACAAAUAUGAAGA